rnacentral:rRNA from 1 species
GACGGAGGAUGCAAGCGUUAUCCGGAAUGAUUGGGCGUAAAGCGUCCGCAGGUGGCAGUUCAAGUCUGCUGUCAAAGACCGGGGCUUAACUUCGUACAGGCAGUGGAAACUGGGUGACUGGAGUAUGGUAGGGGUAGCGGGAAUUCCCAGUGUAGCGGUGAAAUGCGUAGAUAUUGGGAAGAACACCAGCGGCGAAAGCGCGCUACUGGGCCAUUACUGACACUCAUGGACGAAAGCUAGGGGAGCGAAAGGG